GCUAUAAAUACAUUGUUAUACUCAAAAACUGCCCGUGCGUAAUAAAGGAUACCAUCAAAACCCUUAUUCCUUCCUCAAUUGUUCCUCUGCCGUCAUCACCCUUUCACAAUUACCUCCACCUCCUUCAAUCACCUCUGACGAGGAUUACUAGGUGACUCUUUCGGAAAUCUCGUACCUUGAGAAUUACGCGCGUGUUUAAGGUUGGUAAAGGUACUUGGCUACGAGUGAGGAGACGCUUAGAAUAACCACCUAGUCAAGAGACAAUUUCUUUUCCAGUUUAAGUUGGAUUUUGUUAUUUAUUUUAUGGGGAUUAAUUGGUUGUAAUAUUUUAUUGACCACCUUUAGACCACUUAGUUAA